rnacentral:rRNA from 1 species
AUACGAGGGGUGCAAGCGUUAAUCGGAAUUACUGGGCGUAAAGCGUUCGUAGGCGGUUUGUUAAGCAAGAUGUGAAAGCCCUGGGCUCAACCUGGGAACUGCAUUUUGAACUGGCAAGCUAGAAUACUGUAGAGGGUGGUGGAAUUUCCAGUGUGGCGGUGAAAUGCGUAGAGAUUGGAAGGAACAUCAGUGGCGAAGGCGGCCACCUGGACAGAUAUUGACGCUGAGGAACGAAAGCGUGGGGAGCGAACAGGAUUAGAAACCCGAGUAGUCC